rnacentral:rRNA from 1 species
CCCUUAGAUGUUCUGGGCCGCACGCGUGCUACACUGAGUGGAUCAGCGGGUCAGGUUGCGCGAAAGUGUUUCCUAAUCUUUAAAUCCGCUCGUGAUGGGGAUUGACGGUUGCAAUUUUCCGCCAUGAACGAGGAAUACCUUGUAAGCGCGGGUCAUCAUCCCGCGCUGAAUACGUCCCUGCCCUUUGUACACACCGCCCGUCGCCCCUACCGAUUGAGUGGUCCGGUGAGGCUUUGGGAUCUGAGCGGAAAGAGCGUUUCGCUGUUUCUGCCCGGAAAACUCAGUCGAACCUUAUCAUUUAGAGGAAGGAGAAGUCGUAACA